CACGUAGGGGGCGAGCGUUGUCCGGAUUUAUUGGGCGUAAAGAGCUCGUAGGCGGUUCGGCAAGUCGGGUGUGAAAUUUCGAGGCUCAACCUCGAAACGCCACUCGAUACUGCUGUGACUGGAGUCCGGUAGAGGAGUGCGGAAUUCCUGGUGUAGCGGUGAAAUGCGUAGAUAUCUGGAGGAACACCGGUGGCGAAGGCGGCAUCCUGGACCGAGAUUGACGCUGAUGCGCGAAAGCCAGGGGAGCAAACGGG
rnacentral:rRNA from 1 species